rnacentral:rRNA from 1 species
AACGAACGCUGGCGGCAUGCCUAACACAUGCAAGUCGAACGAGACCUUCGGGUCUAGUGGCGCACGGGUGCGUAACGCGUGGGAACCUGCCCUUAGGUUCGGAAUAACUCCCCGAAAGGGGUGCUAAUACCGGAUAAUGUCUUCGGACCAAGGAUUUAUCGCCUUUGGAUGGGCCCGCGUUGGAUUAGCUAGUUGGUAGGGUAAAAGCCUACCAAGGCGACGAUCCAUAGCUGGUCUGAGAGGAUGAUCAGCCACACUGGGACUGGGACACGGCCCAGACUCCUGAGGGAGGCAGCAGGGGGGAAUAUUGGACAAUGGGCGAGAGCCUGAUCCAGCAAUGCCGCGUGAGUGAUGAAGGCGUUAGGGUUGUAAAGCUCUUUUACCCGGGAUGAUAAUGACAGUACCGGGAGAAUAAGCUCCGGCUAACUCCGU